CAGUGAGGAGAAAGACGGACUCUUCUCGCAUCGCCUCCCGGUGUAUCCCUGCAGACACGAGCAGACGCUGUUCCUCAUGCACACGCCGCCGUUCUUACAUGGCGGACUGCAGACGGCUGGAGGAGCAAACGGGAAAACACGGUUUACCGUUCUGACACUGGGCGCCGUAGAAACCGUGAGGACACUCGCAAAUGUUCGCUCGAACGCACCAGCCUCCGUUCAGACACACGGGAGAGCACAGGGCUGCAGAAAGAGAGUGGUCAAGCGACAGGUCGCGGCUU